GACGAACGCUGGCGGCGUGCUUAAUACAUGCAAGUAGGACGAGUUGCGAACGGGUGAGUAACGCGUGGUAACCUACCUCUUCGAGGGGGAUAACUAUUGGAAACGGUAGCUAAUACCGCAUCCCAUCGCAUUUGCCCAGAUGGGAUCAGCUCGUGGGUGGGGUAACGGCUCACCUAGUCGACGAUCCCUAGCUGGUCUGAGAGGGUGAACGGCCAGCCUGGAACUGAGAGACGGUCCAGACUCCUGCGGGAGGCAGCAGUGGGGAAUAUUGCACAAGGGAGGCAAGCCUGAUGCAGCCAUGCCGCGUGAAUGAAGAUGGCCUUCGGGUUGUGAAGUACUUUCGGCGAGGGGGCGUUACUCGCAGAAGAAGCACCGGCUAACUCCGUGCCAGCCGCCGCGGUAAUUC
rnacentral:rRNA from 1 species